AUCCAGCUGACAAGUCCCAAAUAGGACGAAACGCGCGUGUGCUGAAU
rnacentral:hammerhead_ribozyme from 1 species